UACGUAGGGUGCGAGCGUUAAUCGGAAUUACUGGGCGUAAAGCGUGCGCAGGCGGUUCGUUAAGUCAGCUGUGAAAGCCCCGAGCUUAACUUGGGAAUUGCGGUUGAAACUGGCGGACUAGAAUCUGGCAGAGGGGGGUGGAAUUCCACGUGUAGCAGUGAAAUGCGUAGAGAUGUGGAGGAAUACCGAUGGCGAAGGCAGCCCCCUGGGCCAAUACUGACGCUCAUGCACGAAAGCGUGGGGAGCAAACAGG
rnacentral:rRNA from 1 species